CUGCAUUCAAAUGGCAGUUUGGGACAAAGAUCUAAGAUCGGCUCAGAGGAAGAAUCCAAGGCCCAGAGAGACUGAGUGGCACGCGCGGUUACACAGCAGGCUUGGGAAUAAAAGACACAGCUCCAAGUCCUCACUUGAAUGGGCAAGCACCGCUCUCGGAAUGAGACCUUGGGCCGACGAGGAGCACGCCCACCCAGCUCAGGAACGUUCUGGGGUGGAAAUACCUUCAUGACCAAGCAGAGGACAGUGGAGAGCAGAUAAGAGCUCUGGUUUUGUGGAAACAGCAAAAAAAGAAGGGUGCGUGUGAAUCUGGAGUCUGCGGGCACUCUCGGCGUGCUGUGUGACUUGAGGGCAAUCACGUCACCUUUCUGAGUUUCCGUGUGGCCACGCUGCUCUUUACUUAGUUCUGUUCAAGGACUCUUGUGAGGUCAGACUGUCGUGGUCUAGAGCUCUGGUGAGGACACACCGCGAUUAGAGAUGAAAAAGCACUUUGCAAA